GUUUUAAUUAGCCGGGCGUGGUGGCGCGCGCCUGCAGUCCCAGCUACUCGGGAGGCUGAGGCUGGAGGAUCGCUUGAGCCCAGGAGUUCUGGGCUGUAGUGCGCUAUGCCGAUCGGGUGUCCGCACUAAGUUCGGCAUCAAUAUGGUGACCUCCCGGAAGCGGGGGGCCACCAGGUUGCCUAAGGAGGGUCGUGUAGGGAAAGAAGGAA